CUACGGGAGGCUGCAGUGAGGAAUAUUGCACAAUGGGGGGAACCCUGAUGCAGCAACGCCGCGUGGAGGAUGACGCAUUUCGGUGUGUAAACUCCUUUUAUAUGUCAAGAAAAUGACGGUAGCAUAUGAAUAAGCACCGGCUAACUCCGUGCCAGCAGCCGCGGUAUACGGAGGGUGCAAGCGUUACUCGGAAUCACUGGGCGUAAAGGACGCGUAGGCGGGUUGGAAAGUCAGGUGUGAAAUCCUACAGCUUAACUGUAGAACUGCACUUGAAACUUCUAAUCUAGAGUAUGGGAGGGGGGGAUGGAAUUAGUGGUGUAGGGGUAAAAUCCGUAGAUAUCACUAGGAAUACCUAAAGCGAAGGCGAUCUCCUGGAACAUUACUGACGCUAAGGCGUGAAAGCGUGGGGAGCAAACAGGAUUAGAUACCCCUGUAGUC
rnacentral:rRNA from 1 species